rnacentral:tRNA from 1 species
AGGAGAAUAGCUCAAUGGUAGAGCUUUGGUUUUCAAAACCACGGGUUGAGGGUUCAAAUCCUUCUUCUCCUG